UACAGAGAGUGCAAACGUUGUUCGGAAUUACUGGGCUUAAAGAGCACGUAGGCGGCGUCGUAAGUGUCAGGUGAAAUCCCACGGCUCACCCGUGGAACUGCCCGGCAGACUGCGAUGCUCGAGUGUGGUAGGGGAGAACGGAACUCAUGGUGGAGCGGUGAAAUGCGUAGAUAUCAUGAGGAACACCGGUGGCGAAGGCGGUUCUCUGGUCCACAACUGACGCUGAGGUGCGAAAGCUAGGGGAGCAAACGGG
rnacentral:rRNA from 1 species